UGCAGGUCCGCAGAGUCUACGGAGAAGAGUGCUGCGUCCCGGGUCUCUGACAGGAAGAGGUUACUAAGACAUCCCUCUGAAAGCUGGUUUGCAGAACGAACAGUUCACAGAGUGCAGGUUUACACGAGGUGGCCCAGGGGUGCCCUGGAGACUGAGGACAGGUACUAAGUAAACGCUUCUUUGAUGAAUGAGCUGAGAUCUGUCUCUGCACCGCGUCCUAAGCUCCUGGUACUCUAGGCCAGCUAAACACAGGACGGUCCAGGUCUUGGGCGGCCUCACUGGAAGCCCCUCCCCCCACUCGUAGCCACCCCACAAUCAAAGCGCUUGCAAAGUGCUUUUUCCAGACCAGAGCACCCGCGCCGGUCUGCGGAGCUGCUUUGGAAGCCAGGAGCAGCUUGUCUGCGGGAGACGUAACCCGGCUCUUUCUGGAACAACCGACUUGUUGAUAAUCUUGCCUCAAAGAGGAGUUUGCGGAUGUUUAGAAACAGCGGUGGUGGAAAGAUCCUCCCCAGGGCCAUCGCUGCUCCCUCCGGGGAGGCGGCGCAGCGGUGGAGGAGUGGCCCCACGGCGGGGGCUGCAAAGCGGAGGGAAGACAAAGUGCGCGGCCUCAGAGCGGCGCCUGCACGUGACAGCCCUGGGGCCGGUGGAGUCUCAGAGCAAAGGUGGGGGAGGGGUCUCUACGAGUCAGCCCGACACCUUCUCGCAGUCUCAGGAUAAACUUGGGGGAAAGCACAAGCAAGGCUCAAGAUCCCCAGAACUAGGAGUCCUGGGCCUCCAGGUGGAUAAAUAAAUUAUUAAGCGCCCAAUACACAAUAGCCUCGCUAGAUGGAGUCGAGGAAUCACUGCAGCGGCGCUGGCGGCGGCGGCGGCGGGGAGCGCGGGCGGGAGGCGGGCGAGGCUCUGGCUCCGCUCACGUCUGUUUUCCUUUUUCGUGCAUUAUUUAUUUCAUCUCCGUCCGCGGCCCUGCUGCUCGAGCAGGAGCUCCGGGAAAACGCCUCUCGCCGCUGCCUCCGGCCGGCCGGCCUAAAGCGCACGUAGAGCUCCGCACCCCGCGCCCAGGGCAGCCGCGGGGCGCCAACGGGAAGGGCGGGGACCUCGGCGGGUCGGGGAGCGGCCGCGGGCUCCUGCGAGGCUCGCACAGCCGGCUCCAGGCGGCAGAAGGAGACUUUCCCCGCCCUCCGGCUCCGCCUCGGUAACGGCCCGAGCUCCGGGCGCGGGGUGCCUCCUCUCCCGCCCCGCGCGCCACCAGGCGCAGCUCAGAGCCACAGCGCCCUGCGCCCCGUGCGAGCGCGGCGCGCCCGGGGCCGGAGCUCAGCAGUCCUGGAGGCCCAGGGAGAGCGCAAACUUUUGCUUCAGUGCCCGGCGCUCCUCCGCGACAUGUGAAGCCCCCAAGCGCCAGCGCAGCUGCCAGGUUCGCCCCAUCAGUGGGCGCCGUGGGCCGAGAUGCUCCUCCGGGACCUGGUACUGCGCCGUGGCUGUCGCUGGCCCUCGCUGCUGCUGCACUGCGCGCUCCAUCCGCUCUGGGGCUUCGUACAGGUGACGCACGGUGAGCCCCAGAAGUCCUGCUCCAAGGUGACUGACAGCUGCCAACACAUCUGCCAGUGCCGGCCCCCACCCCCGCUCCCCCCACCACCCCCGCCGCCACCACCUCCCAGACUCCUCUCUGCCCCAGCUCCCAGCUCUACCUCGUGCCCUGCCGAGGAAAGCUGGUGGUCGGGGCUGGUGAUCAUCAUUGCCGUAUGUUGUGCCUCUCUGGUGUUUCUGACUGUCCUUGUCAUCAUUUGCUACAAAGCCAUAAAAAGGAAUCAAGCCAUUUAGGGGGCCCUCGGUGGCCAUCUCCACCGGGACCAGGGUGGAGAUGCCUGUCCUGGCUUGGCCCACAGAGUCCGGAGCUGGGCUGGGUCCUAGUGUCUUCCUCCAGACCUUCAAGAGCCCCGGGGCGCAUGAUAGGAAACCCCUGCGAAAAGAUGAAAAUGGUACCAGCGUUGCUGAGUAUCCCAUGAGCUCCUCACAGAGCAAUAAAGGGGUGGAUGUGAGCAACGCAGUGGUGUGAGUCUGCAGGCCCUGGACCCGCUGGCCAGAGGGACACCUUGAUGGCACUAAUGGACAUGGGAAGCUGACCCUGGGCUUGUCCAGGACUUCAUUGCCUUGCAGGCCUCAAGUCUCCUGAAGGAGAAACCAUCCUUUUCCCAGGCCAGCCCCAGCUGGCCUAUGGGCAGGGGCAGUGCAGAUGCUGGGCUGAGCCCAGGUCCCCCUGCAUGCAGUGCCUGGGGCAGCAUCACCGCCCAGGGCUCUCCAUCCUCCUCUUGUCUUGUGUUUGGUCCACAGACUGUUCACCAACUGCUGUCUAAAGCACAUGCUCUGAUGAAGGCAGAAGGGCUGUCUGCUUGUGGGGGCAGGAGGUGCCCUUUUAGCUAACAGAAGGUGAACAGGGCCACUCCCCAGCCUGAAAACCUCCCUCUUCCAGGAAGCAGCCUGCUUGCUUCUCUGUGGAUGUCCCAACAGAAGCCAUCGACACAGCCAUGAGACAGACGUCCCCUUUCAAAGGUGCUUCCCACACAUCUGUUCCUCACCCCAUCUGUAACUGUCCCCAGUCUUCAGGGCCAGUGUCUGCCCUCCUGUACCUGGGCCAUGAGGCCAGCCUGAGAACCCCUGUGAGCGGACAUGGGGGCUCAUUUACAUGGGGGUAGAGCAUCACAGAAGCCUAGAUUAAGGGAGUCUGGAAAGGGCAAGGAUUCCCCGCCCUGUUCUCAGACAGCAGCACACCUGGAUGCAGCCUUGUGGGGAGGAGGUCGUCACUUGUGCCAACCCAUCGGGGCACUCUGGCCUGGAGCCACAUCUUCCGGACCAUGCCCCGAGACCUAACAGUGGUGCCCAGAUUCUUCUGAGAGCCCCUAGAAGGAGGGGUUUUAUUCCCAUGUCCUGCAGGCCAGUGCUCUGGAUGUGCCGAACCCUCCUGAGUAUGGAAGGUGGAGGAGAAGGGCAGGAACCUCCAGGCUUGUCACCUCUUCCCUGCCCACCGGUUUCCCAGAUGGCACCUCCCACUGGGACACAUUGCCCAGCCCAUGGAGGCAGUGACCUUGUGAGCUUACCUCCUUUGGCAAGUUAGGAGGACACUCUUCACCCCAUGGUUCCCCUCACCACCCUCACAGACCUGCUGAAAUGGAACCAGGCCUAUUUAACAGUUAGGCUUGUGACCUUGUCGGGAUUAAGCUGACUGGACCUCGUUUGCCUUCUAUGCCGCUAUUGUACUUCUCUGGCAGGUUUUUGGGUUGUGAUGAGACCCUCAAAUCCAGGUAAGAUGGACAGAUAUGAAAGCCACUCCCCCAUGUGACAAAAAUGUCCACUGUCCCAGUGCCCUGUGCCCAGAGCUGUCACUGUCCUUCCCCUGGCCAGUGUAUGCACCCUGAGGCCAGCUCAGGAAACCCCCAUCCUGAGGCUUUUUUUCCUUUCCUUUCUCCUCCUCUGGCUUGAGGACUCCUUUGAACUUCACUUUCCUGACACACCUUGGCGUCAUUAUGGGGCUGCCAACAGCUCCACCCUGUGAACACUUGGCAGUACGCUUGGGAUGCAGGGUCAGGUGACAAACAGGCCAGAGGAGGGGGUUCAGGGACAGGGCAGGAGAGAGAAACCAGGCAGACCCCAGGCCAGGGCACUGUGCCCCUCUGCCCACAGCCUCCACUCCUGCAGAGCCCCCUCCUUGAGCAUAGACUUGGGCAGGUGAGCAGUAGCCCAGCCCUAAACACACCGCACUCCAGGCUUCAUGGCAGAAAAAGCUGAUGCCCUGGGCUGGUCCAGAGUAGCCAGAGGGUGCUUUAGGCUGGAAGCUACUGGCUAAGGUGCCCUGGUGAGCUAGGGCCACCCUGAAAAGCUGAGGAUGGCCGAGUAUCCAUACACCCACAGGGCUCUACUAUCCUUGACAAUGGCUUAAACGUAGGAAGCCCAGAUUUUGCAGUUAGGCUGCAGGAACCUGACUGAGCUGCCCUUCAUGCUGGCCCUCAAGACACCCAGGGCUCUAGUUUGCAUGCAAAUUCCCCUCCAACCAGCUUGUAAGGUCCAUUCUCAGCCAGUUAUGGAAAACCAAGGGAAGAGUUGCAUUCUUUAAAAGAAUAUUCACUUGAGAACAAAGCCCCCACAUUCAGGACUGGUGCCCAGAGGACACAUCUCAUGGAGCAGUGUGGGAGGACCCCUGGCUUUCAGCUUAGGAGACUGAUGUGCCCAUCCAACUGCUGCAACCUAGUAUGUGAGCUUGGAGCUUUCGUUCAAAAUAAAUCUGCAGCGCCGCAGCCCGGACCCCUCCUCAGAUUGGUCCGAGGUCGAGAAGGAGGUGCACAUUCUUGCCGUGCAUUUUCUCAGCUGUCCAGUAGUCAAGCUCCACUUGGGAACGCAGUGGCAUUUGGGGGCUCCCAGCGAACCCAGUGUUCCUAACAGGCUUCUGGGAAAGUUUUGGAAGAAAGACUAAUAGGUAUAAAAAUAUAAACAUAUAUAUUAUAUAGUUAUAUAUUUAAAGAAAUAUCUGUAUAUAAUUACUGUACUCUCUGCAUCUGUAUGAUCUCAACAGCCGAGGUAGCGUGAGACAUGUAAUGCAUGAGUGUAAAUACCCUGACCUCUGCCUUCUUAGCGAUGUGCCGUGUGUACGGGGACGAUCUCUCUUGUUCCUAGGCGUUCUGUCUCAAUGGACAAGUACACCUGUCUAUGCCAUCUUGUCCACCAAUGAGCCAUUAAUGUCGAUUUCAUGCUGAGACUUCUGUACAGGAGGCAGGACUGGCAGCCUUGGGGGAUGCGCUGUAUGCUCCUUAUGAGGAAAGAAGCACCAUGACUUUUUUUUAUUUUCAAUAAAAAUAUACUUAAAAGA